AACCUCGCCUAGGUAAGCGGGGGAAAUAACCCGUUGAAAGACGGACUAAUACCGCAUAAUACUAAAUUACUGCAUGGUAAUUUAUUUAAACAUUUAUGGCUUACAGAUGGGCAUGCGCAUGAUUAGCUAGUUGGAGAGGUAACGGCUCCCCAAGGCAACGAUCAUUAGGGGUUCUGAGAGGAAGGUCCCCCCACACUGGUACUGAGACACGGACCAGACUCCUACGGGAGGCAGCAGUGAGGAAUAUUGGUCAAUGGACGAGAGUCUGAACCAGCCAAGUCGCGUGCAAGGAAGAAUUCGUCCUAUGGAUUAGUAAACUGUCUUUUGCGAAGGGGAAAUAAAGUGCAUCACGUGUGAUUGUUUUGUAUGUACUCUGCGAAUAAGGAUCGGCUAACUCCGUGCCAGCCGCCGC
rnacentral:rRNA from 1 species